GGGGUUGUGGCUCAGUAGCAGAGUGCUUGCCUAGUGCACAUGAGGCACUGGGUUCGAUCCCCAGCACCACA
rnacentral:tRNA from 1 species